UUCGGAAUCGAGAGAGAGAGAGACUGAGGAGGAGAGCGACGCCGCUCGGUCCCCGUCCAGGCGCGCCUCCGCCGCCGUCAGGCCGUCGCUGGACGAUUGGCGACCACCGUUCAGCUCGUCUCUCUCUCCUCUACAUCCUCCUAACCGUCGAUUGACAUGCAUCCACCACCUUCUUAAGAUCGAAAAUCCAAAACCUAACCCCCAAAUUCAAAUUCCGGUCAAAUCCCUUCUCCCCCAGCGAGUUCAAGCUUCUAAAAGGUAAUUUCUCUUUUCCCUCUUCGUUUUCCAUCCCCCUUGAGCUUCGAUUUUCAGAAAUAGAGCCCUAAUCCGAAUUUCCUUUUUGGGUUCGAGGUUUGAUUUUCAGGCGAGCCUAGCAACGUUCGAUGGGUGCCCAUAUGCGCCUUGAAGGAGGCUUGGAGGCCGCUGUUACUGUUUCGGAGGGAGGCAGUGGCUUUGGGUGAUUGGCCGAGUGUCUUUAAUCUCUUAGCUCUAGAUUCAUGUUUUCAAUAGGUUGGAGGUCGCAAAAGACCUUUUAGAGCAAAUUGAAGUUGUAGAAUAAUUGCACAGGCCACUUUUGCUAGCAAUAGGCUGCCUUGCAUUGCAUAUAAGGGCAGAAGUAUGGAGCAUUAUUUUCAGCUUUAUUUGUUGUAGCCUUCUCACUAAUAUUAUGAGAGCAAGAUGCAAAUAUGUUUCUACAAAGCUUGCUGAAAAACAGUCCAGAACCAAUGGCUAUAUUCAAGAUCAACUUUGAGGAGAAAAAGGCUAAUGAUGAAGAAAGAGUUGGCUGCCAGAAUCGGUUAUGAUGGUGCAUGUAUUGUGUCACUAUUGUGACCUCUAGAGAAAGAUAAAACAGAUUCAGACAGCUUCCAUCAAUGGCAUCUGUGAAGGAACACCCAUAUUCAGAACAUAAAUUUUAUAUCUAUUGUAGUAUGGGUUUGCGAGUGUUAUGAUUUAUCAGACCAAAAGAUUCUCCAUGUUGCAUCAAGAACAAUAGUUAACCUCACACGCAUGCAACACACUUCCUCACACGCAUACAAGGCUAGUAGUUUAUUAAACAAGUUGUUGCCACAUUAGAAGCAGAAGACUAUUGUGGUGGAUGUCGGUUGACAAUCACUUGGAUUUUUCGUUUUUCAAUUUGAUUUCUACUCUUCACAAUUGUAUGUUGCUGAUUUCGUAGGUUCAUAUUCUCUUGAGAUUAUGUCACAAAUCCUUACAACUAUGUUUAUGCUAAAUUUCAAAUGGACUAAUAAGCUAUGAUUCUGCUAAAUUUCAAAUGGACUCAAAAUCAAUUUCUUACAUGAGCAUGUCUUAAUGAUGCAUGUCAAAAUGGUCAGUCCAGUUGGGGUUACCACAAAUGUAUCAACAGUCUUUA